UAACAUUGCCUGCUGUGAACUCUUAUUUACUAUUUAUUUAAAUAUUUAUAAACCACACUUUUCAUUUAAAAAAUACAGCAGCUCUGAUAAAAGCUGUGGUAAAAGCUUCAAAGCACCAGUAAAAGCAUUAAUGAAAGCUGGUUGGUGGUGAUGGGGAGAUCAUUUUUCAAAGGCCUGUCUGAAUAGCUCAGUUUUCAGUAGAUACCUGAAAACAGGCUGUGAUGAUUCCUGCUGAAGCCUGGGUCUCUAGUAAAGGCCGAGAGAACCCCAGGGGCCUGGGCAACCACCAGAAGUACCGCAGUGGAGGGUCUCGGUGAAGGGGGAGCAUAAAAAGUCUAGUAGUCCUUAAUGUACCUUGGACCUGAGUUUUUUAGUGCUUUGGAUAGGGCAGGGUAUACAUGAAAACUGCUUGCUGGAUUGUGUCCUGUGGGUACAAUGCCACUGCUGUUAAACGCUCAUCAAAAGUGAGUUGCCGCUGGCUGACUUCAGUUGGCUGUAGGUGUCUUGCAGUUGUGUAGUGGGCCUAAUAAAAGUGCAGCCAUUUUACUAUCUUUCCAUUUUAUAUUUACGCUGAGGAGAGGUUUGUAUUUUUAUUUUAGAAGAUAUCUGCUUAAAAGGGCCCAGGAGACCUGGAGAGACUUUGACAGGAGGAAUCAGAAGUGUACAGUCCAGUGAAGAAUUAAACUACUGGGAGUAAUAAUAUGGGCUGAUGCACUCAAUAUAGCAGUAAUGCCUUCAGAGAAGAAGAGGAAAUAAUUCAGAUCCUCUAGGCUACACUGAAGCUAAAUACAGUAUGACAAGAAAUAGGAGCAGUGCUCAUUAUGUCUGAUUGCUAAUUACCCCUUUGAAUGAUUCAGUUAUGCCUGCUACUAGAUAAUUAGUUUAGUAAUUUAUGGCUGCAGCACAAACUAGUACUUUAAUUUUCACUGCACAAUUUUCGCAACACCUACCAUUCAGAUAAUAUCGCCUCUCUUUUUAUUAUUCAGUUUUAAAUUGCUUUUUUUUUUUUUUUUUGAUAGCCUAUAUGAAAAACAGCCUUUUUGUGUGUCUCUCCUGGAUUAUCUGUCAUGGCUUUUAUGUGAAAUCACGUUCUUUAUGGAACUUAAUUCAAGCGUAAACUCUACUAAAGGUACCAGUAGCUUUAUGCUUUAUCUUGUUUUUGUUUUGCUUUCUCAGUUGAUGGCAACUUUUUAUGCCCCUUGCUGUUCUUUUGCCUUUAAAAUGACUGACACUGCGCUAAGCAACUGAUACAUGUAAAUGUUUCAAAACUCAGUAUAAAAUAAUGGAUUAAAAUAUUUGGGGGCUUCUUGAACAAUGUAUCAGUAUUUUUUGAAGUUCCAUAUUGGUUAUGUGUGACUGAGUUGCAUGACCACUUGGUAGAAAGGGUGGGUUUAAUGUGUCAGUGGGAUCAAGCAGGGGAAUCUUAACUUGCCAGCCCCAGUGAGUCAGAUAAAUUAAAGCACCAAAAGAAGCUCAACUGGCUUUAUAUAAUAAAUGGAUAGGGCAGGGAUGUAAGCAGGUGGUGAUUUCUGUGUUUGUCACAAUCAGCACUGUUUCUGUUCUACUGCAGUCAGGCUUCCACUAAAGCCUAUAUUACUCAUCUCACCAUCCACUAUCCUUGAAACUAAGACAAUUAAUUAUACAAUUAAUUUAUAUGAUUUUUAAUGGAAGGGAAACAUCAAGAACAAUGCAGAAAAUUAUCUAUAUACUGUUUGUAGACUAAAAAACUUAGUGUACACUAUUUGUAUUUGUUUAUGUGGUUUCUCUUCCAGACUUAGAUGAACAUCUGAAUUGAAGCAAUUUCUGCUCUCAUUUCCAAGUGAAUUCACUAGUUGAGGGAUGUCUGUUUCCAGCCCAUGGUGCUUUCACUUCCUGUUUUGUUUUUUGUUUUUUUUCCCAUAUUUUGUUUCUACAUUGAUCUUAUUUUUUAAAAAACAAACAAACCCAGAACAAAGAGCCCACUAAUAUGCAUUGGAAUACUUCUUUGAAUAUUUCAAAAUCCAUAUUAGGGCAACCAAAAUGCCAGAUGACAUUGUGUAAUCUUUCAAGUUCACCUGUACCCUUAAUCAGGAUAUAUUAUAAUAAAAUAUUAAGGCAAGGGGAGGGAGAGAAAAAAUGGAUGGUAUUCAAGUCAUCUGUGUUAGUAUCUGGCAAGAGUCUUAAGAAUGUAGUGUGGGAGAAGGCAGCAGACAUUCAGAUGAGACUCUGUGUGUGUGAUGUCUCCCAAGGCAUCCUGGGGAGGAGAAGCGGUAGAUUCUCUAUUUUCCACUUGUUCCCCACCUUCCAAGGAACUUGAAUAUUUCACAUAAGAAUGAAGACAGAACUGAGUAACAGCUGAUUGUUGUAUUUCUAGAAAUUGAGAAUCUACUAUUUCUGAAGAUGGAGCCUACAUGAAUUGAGUUUCCUUUGGACUAACACAGGACAAUUUAUGAAAAGUUGAUGCAUGAGUGGUUUCAUUUUAUAGUAGGAGAUUGACUAAAUGACCUUUUCAUGUGUUUGGUUAGGUCUGAUUUACAGCUUUCUUUAUGCAUUCAAAGGAAUGCACGUGGGCACAAAAGGACGUGGGAGAAAUUGCAUUUGGAUUAGGGGGAAUUUUGUACACUCCUGCAUUGAUUUUCAUUUCCUGUAUAUUAUAGUUUACAUAGAUCAACUGCACCAUACUUUGCUUUACAGCCUCUUAAGAGAAAAGGCACAGUGAAUUGGUUUGCUCCAUCUCAUCUUAGGCUUCUUUGCAGUCUUCACCAACCUGGUGCCCUCCAGAUGUUUUGGACUACAAAUCCUAUCAACUGAUAGGAUAGCUCAGAAUAUUUGAAGGGUACCAGGUUGGCAAAGGCUAACUGAGAGUUUUCAUUUUGGUUGAGACCUUCUGUCAUAAUCUCUAUGUUACAAGCUAAAGGUCACUCCCUGAGGUACAUCAGUAGCUGGCAGGUUAAGAGCUUGAAAAUAUAUACGAUGACUAACAUACAGGAUUUAAAAAGUGUGCCGUGCAAGGAUUCUUGAUAUAAGCCACAGAAUGUUAAAGAUGUUGGGGGCCUUGGAGUGGCUGCUGGUUGGCAGGAAGGUAUCAGUUUGUGUACUUGCAUUUGCAGUUUAUCAUAUUAAAACAAAAUCCAAGUAAGUAUAGGCAUGGGACUCCCACCACCACCACCAUUCACAAAACAUGCAUUCUCUUUUAUGUUUUGGAUGAUCUCCUGCAGAGCUUAGUAUUUUAAAUUUUAUAAUCAGAAGAAAGAAAAGGUCUGCACUAAACAUUGGAUUAUGACAAGCCUCUUUGCAGAAGUAAUUAUGUAAUUUUCUUGUUCAGGGACAGCAACCGAGAUGCUUGGAAUAUCAAAGUGAGAAUAAAAGCAUUCUCAAAAUCGGCGCAUUAGUAUUCCUAGCACAUUAACGCAGUUGCUGACAAAUCAGUUGGGACUAGCAGGCAAAUAUUUAGAUUAUCGAAAUGAGUUUUUCCUUAUGGGCAACAGUGCAGAUUAUGUUUGCAGGUACUAUAUUACUCUGAAAAAAAUAUUUGGCGUUAUGAGUUUAUCAGGCUUGCUGUAUCCUUGCUGUUUUAUUUUCACUGCAGUUCUGUAACUUAAUGUGUGUGGAUUUGUACUUUGUAGCAAGCUGCACUUUCCUCUUAGACUUGGAUCAAUGUUCUAAAGGGCAGCCCUGACAUUGUUGCUGUUGUUUUCCUAUGAACACCAGGGUUGUGUUUAUUAUGGAAUGAAACUAUGCCCUUUAUAGCUAGCAGUCUUGCUUGAAAUAUUAAAUGGGUCAGAGAACAAAUAAAUGCUCCCCUACAGGUUGGAUGCAGUGACUCUUAUGUUAUGCGGUUUGCUUGUGCACAUAAAGUGUUGCCUCACUCCCCCCCCCCAUUUCACCAUUACCUCCCCCCCCCCAAAUAUAAAUGUAUCCUCUGAGCAUCAUCUUGACCUUUCCAGUUUUAUUCAGUAUGAUGGUCUGGGGAUCUUUUACUUACUAACUGGACCAUUUGCACACUGCAGGAGUAGAACUAGCCAGGUGUUCAUUUUAUGCUUUAUUUUUUGUAAUUGAGCUUUUCUACAAGUAAUGAAAAUACUGCAGUAUAAUUAUCAAAAGCACAGGCGGUCUUUAUAUUUGGAUAGCUUUUCAGCAUGUACACCUAUCUGCGGAACAAACAAGCAACAGUUGUACAAGGCAUGCCCUUUCUGUACUGUACUUUGUAGCAAACUUAGCUGUUCUUUAUUUGAAGAGAACUCAAAACACAUAAAUAACAGGACUGUAUAAAUC